AUGAAGCAAUUUCCCCAGCUUUACAACAUUUGCACGGCUCAGGACUGCACGCUGGACAAACUGGAUACGGUGGUUCGUGCUGAUUUCUUUCGUAGAAGGCUAAAUGAUGAGUUAACUAACCAGUGGUUGUCGCUGAGAAGUUGUGUACAUAGUUUGAAUCUGUCUGGUGACAGUGGUUCUGUGUACUGGGGCUUGAACAAGUCGGGUAAGUUCACUACGAAAUCCAUGUACAAGUGGCUGGAGAGACCGCUUAGUGGAUGUACCUAUAAGUGGAUAUGGAAAGCUAAAAUUCCCCUUAAAAUCCAGAUAUUUCUCUGGCAGCUUGCUCAGGAUGCGGUGCUUACCAGGCAUGUGAUGCGGCAACGAAAGUGGCAAGGGAACCCUGGUUGUUCCUUUUGCCAACAGGUUGAAACCUCCCAGCACUUAUUCUUUGGUUGUUCUGUGGCCAAAGUGGUCUGGCGUUCGAUUGGGGUCACACUUGGGACUGAUUUAUGUCCCAAUAACUACUGGCAGUUUUUUGUUUGGUGUCACUCCUUUUUACCGGGAUAUGAAUCUUUCUAUACUGUGGCACUGGGGGCUGUGACUUGGGCCAUAUGGCUGGCUCGUAAUAAAGCUACCUUCGAGAAAAAAUGA
rnacentral:rRNA from 1 species